GAUGAACGCUGGCGGCGUGCCUAAUACAUGCAAGUCGAGCGAACAGAUGAGGAGCUUGCUCCUCUGACGUUAGCGGCGGACGGGUGAGUAACACGUGGAUAACCUACCUAUAAGACUGGGAUAACUUCGGGAAACCGGAGCUAAUACCGGAUAAUAUAUUGAACCGCAUGGUUCAAUAGUGAAAGACGGUUUUGCUGUCACUUAUAGAUGGAUCCGCGCCGCAUUAGCUAGUUGGUAAGGUAACGGCUUACCAAGGCAACGAUGCGUAGCCGACCUGAGAGGGUGAUCGGCCACACUGGAACUGAGACACGGUCCAGACUCCUACGGGAGGCAGCGGUAGGGAAUCUUCCGCAAUGGGCGAAAGCCUGACGGAGCAACGCCGCGUGAGUGAUGAAGGUCUGCGGAUCGUAAAACUCUGUUAUUAGGGAAGAACAAAUGUGUAAGUAACUAUGCACGUCUUGACGGUACCUAAUCAGAAAGCCACGGCUAACUACGUG
rnacentral:rRNA from 1 species